GUUUUCCUUUACCUGCUGGGCACAGACUGGUUAGACAGCUCAAAGUAAUGUGGUAAAAGCUGCACAGAUCUGAUUGACAUUGAGCAGCAAUAUCUGGUCAAAUCCUUUCCACACAGACCAAGGGCUUUGACAGUCCACCAUGUAUUCUAAGGCUUGAAAGAGCCUCUGCCGAGUUACAAUUUUUUUUACAGAGCUCAUGUCUUGAUGACUCAGAGCUACACUCAGCUUGAUGGGUAAUUAGUUGGCAGCUCUUAAAAUCAAUUGAGUUUUGUGGUAUCUAAACACAGCCACUUCCAGUACGUUCCCUAGAAUUUCCUUCUC